rnacentral:lncRNA from 1 species
UGAACUUGUAGUCUUAACUAUUUUUAUUUAGUAGUUUCUGUAUGAAGGUUAUUUUAAGUCUAGCACAGUAAUAGAAGAUCAGCUUUCAGGUGUGUGAAUUUGGGGAAUAUUGACUCUAUACAACUGCUUUAUUUACCUCUAUAACCAUUAAGGAAAAACAUCUAUAAAUUUCAUAACAAUCUAAUGAACUAUACCUGGAAAGGGUAGGAAAAUACAUUAUAAUCACAUGAUAAGUGGAUUUUUCCUGAAUUACAGACAGAGAUACAUAGAGUUCUACAACUUCAGUUCUACCUUUUACAUUCAGUUCUACAGCUUUAGACACAGAUCAAAAUAAUCAGAAAAACAAACAAAAAACCUCAUUAGUGCUGAUCUCAAAGAAUUUCUUUGAGUGCACAGAUUAAAAAAAAAAAAACAGUAAUACCAAAACAAAAAACUAAGAUCUUGGACUCUCUGUCACCACUCACAGAACAGAAAAUAGGUCAGAGCAUAAAUCCAAAUUGCCAAUCAUCACCACCAAUAAGCUUAUUUGUGGCAAGGCACCUAUGCAUUUCAUUUCUAUAUCCCAUCUAGAAUCUUAGGUGAACUUCUCCCAUGAAAUAAGCAGCCAAAAUAUUUGUUGAAUUAAUUGCAAAGCACAGGAUGCCUGAAAAGUAAGAGCAUAUAAUGGCCAGUUAAAUUUAGAAACAUAGGUUUUAAAAGUUUUAUCUUUUAGUAGCUAUUUCAUUUUCUAAGAGCCAAUUACUGAAGCACUGGCUCUGUAAUCGGAAAUUAAAGUUGACACAGGCAUAAAGCCAAAGGACAACAGGGGUAAUAAGAAAGAAUCAACAGAUCUUUCACUUUGUUUAAUUAUUGAAAAUGAGCUGAUAACCCUUAAAUUUACCUAGAAAUUAGAUGCUCUGCAGACACAUUUCAGCAGAAAAGCAAAACUAAAGAGCACAAACACCUUCCAAUAAUGAGCUCUUUCUACUGAAGAGGGUGGGUGUCCUGAGACCUCUAUCAAGUCUUCAUCAGUUUAUUUCCAAGUACUAAUCAAACAAAACUAGUCUUGGUAUGAGUUAUAGAAAAUAAUAUUGAUGCAUGUUUACUUUUAGCCUAUAAAUAUAGUGGAAUUCAUGAACACGCACUAUACUUCGGGAGGAUUUUCAAAGCAAAGGUUGUAUCCAGAAACUUCCUAAAGCUUUUAUGUUUUCCAAAGUAUCCAAAUUUUCAAUUGAAUAAUUUAGUUCAAUUAAUACUUAUUUUUAUUCAUGUGUAGUAAUGAAUUAUUCAACUUACUAAUACCCUCUGAGAUUCUAUAUUUUUUCAAAUUACAACCAAUGCGGAUUGUCUGCAGUAGAUUAUUAAGAGGUAAAAUCAUAUAUGUACACAUAUAUAUAUUAUAAACAUUUUACCUUUCUUGGGCAUUGUUUUGGUUAACAGAAUAGAUGAUAAGGAAAAGGUGCUGUGUUGGGAAAAUACACGUUUCUACCCUAAAACUACUAGCUAGGUUUUACUGAAUGAUCAUAUAUCUUCAAUAAGCUUCACAUUCAUAAAAAGGCCCUCAGAAGAGAAACAAUUAUUUUAGUAAAAUUUAAAAGAAACUAUCAAACAAAAACACAGUUUUUAUACCACACAGCUAAAAGUUGACAUUGAAAAUGACACUCCAGACUGAUAAAUUAGAUUCAGCCUUAGUUAAAAACAACAGCCAAUAUUAGUAUUGAGAACUAAAACAAAAGAAAGUUUUAAAUGAAAAGUGGAGUUUUUCUAGUCAUCUUUUAAACUAAUUCAACCAUAGGUAUCUAUUAUAAAUGUAGUCUCUUACUACUUCUGAUAUCAAUAACCUGAAAAAUAUAAACAUAGUCUCCUUAUUACAACCCUCCAGUCAUUUUUUUUUUUUUUAUGUCUAGCAAUUUCUAAGGUUUCUACUAUUUUCAGCCAGCAAUGCAGACAACACUCUAAAGGAAGAGAACUUGUCUGAAAUCACACAAGGCUUCCUGUCUUUCGUAAAUCAUGAGUGUCUACCUGCUAUCUAGUCCCCAGCUCCUUGCCUGCCCUCCUUCCUCCCACUGUCUUCCAGAUAGGCUAGAAAGGCCUGAUGCUCCAUUUUUUUUUUAAACAGAUCCUGCUCUGCUAGGGAGGGCUCUCACCUGGAGAAGCACACCACCAGUCCAGGCCACACACGGGAGGAGUCAGGGUAAAGGACUAAAGUGCACUUGUCGGGUGAAAGUAUAUCAUGUCCUGUUCACAGCACCUAAAGAGAGGACUGCUGACCACUGUCACUGGAGCUGCCACCAUGGCCAGCCCUCACAAACCUAAUCCUUGCCGGGGAGCUGACAUAUCCACAGCCUAAAUCAUAAAUGAAGUCUUUUCACAAAGCCUGAGCCUUCUACCAAGAACACAUUUGGUUUUUGGAGUUCCUGUUGUGGUGCAGCGGAAACGAAUCCGACUAGAAACCAUGAGGGCGUGGGUUCAAUCCCUGACCUCACUCAGGGAGUUAAGGAUCCGGUGUUGCCAUGAGCUGUGGUGUAGGUCUCAGAUGCAGCUCGGAUCCCAUGUUGCUGUGGCUGUGGUGUAGGCCGGCAACUGCAUAUCCAAUUGGACCCCCAACCUGGGAACCUCCAUAUGCCAUGGUGAACCCC